rnacentral:rRNA from 1 species
UGGUUGCUCACUAAAUGAAUCUAAGUUCAACUCUAGUAAACAAAAAUACUAUAAACCACUACUAGAAGAUAUGCCCCAGAGGACCAGCUCUAGGGCAACUGGAUACAGCCAACAUUGGAGGGCUAAAAGAAAAACUCAUACCCGUAGGCCUUUAAGCAGCCACCAACAAAAAAUGCGUUAAAGCACCAGCCUUUACAAUCCAACACCAAAAAUUUUUCCCCCAUCACAAACUGAGCUACCCUAUCAAAACAUAGGGGCACCACUGCUGAAACUAGUAAUAAGAACAACUUCUACCUGCACCAGCCUACGUAACACCAAACAAUUACCAACAAACCAUGCCCUAACACCAAGACCACCCAUAACACAACCCUGUUACCUCCGACACAGGCAUGCACAAUACAAGAUUAAUAGUCUAAGAAGGAACUCGGCUAAUGAGUCCCACCUGUUUACCAAAAACACCGCCUUUAGCCAUAACAAGUAUUAAAGGUCCCGCCUGCCCAGUGAAAAACUUUUUUAACGGCCGCGGUAUCCUAACCGUGCAAAGGUAGCGCAAUCACUUGCCCCCUAAAUAGGGGCCAGUAUGAAUGGCUAACUGAGGACGCAACUGUCUCCUAAGACCAAUCUAUGAAACUGAUCUCCCAGUACAAAAGCUGGGAUAUACACAUAAGACGAGAAGACCCUGUGGAGCUUUAAAUACUGCCGCUAAUCAUAACAAUAUGCCCCAAGGGGCACACAACAACACGAAAUAGCGACCAUUUUAAGUUGGGGCGACUACGGAGUAAAACUAAACCUCCAUGAAAAAGGCUAACCCCCCCCCUAGACCAACACGUCACAGGGCGUCCUCCACCAUGACCCAGAAAAACUGAUCAACGAACCAAGUUACCCCAGGGAUAACAGCGCUAUCCCCCUCAAGAGUCCAUAUCGCCAGGGGGGCUUACGACCUCGAUGUUGGAUCAGGACACCCCAGUGGUGCAACAGCUACUAAAGGUCCGUUUGUUCAACGGUCAAUGUCCU